ensembl:lncRNA
UCUGCAGUUAAUGUCUUCUCUGGAGUUUUUACACUUUGAGGGCUGGAUUGGACCCUUUGGAGAACCGCUUUUGGCCCGCGGGCCUCAUGUUGGACACCCUUGCAGUAGAGGGAAGGAGGGAUGUUUGCAGAGAAGAUGAGAAAAGAGGAAAGUUUAGUUCACCUCUGCCUCUCUGCAGCAGCUAAUGGAUCCGUUAAAAGUGCUGAUUUCUGCAGAAAGCCGAGACGACAAGAAAAACACUCAGAGAGCAGUCCUGCUCCAAGGCGCUCAGUCCUGCUCCGAGGCCGCUCAGUCCUCCUUCAAGGCCGCUCAGUCCUGCUCCAAGGUCGCUCAGUCCUCCUCCAAGGCCACUCAGUCCUGCUCCAAGGCCGCCCAGUCCACCUCCAAGGCCGCUCAGUCCUCCUUCAAGGCCGCCCGGUCCACCUCCAAGGCCGCUCAGUCCUCCUUCAAGGCCGCUCAGUCCUGCUCCAAGGCCGCCCAGUCCACCUCCAAGGCCGCUCAGUCCACCUCCAAGGCCGCUCAGUCCUCCUUCAAGGCCGCUCAGUCCUGCUCCAAGGCUGCCCAGUCCACCUCCAAGGCCGCUCAGUCCUCCUUCAAGGCCGCUCAGUCCUGCUCCAAGGCCGCUCAGUCCUCCAACAAGGCUGCUCAGUCCUCCUACAAGGCCGCUCAGUCCUCCUCCAAGGCCACUCAGCCGUUGGAUCAUUUCUGACAGAUGAAAUCCUGAAAAGAUUUGCGGCAGAAAUCAACAUAGAAUGUGUCCAUUUAAUAUAGAUGAACCCAC